rnacentral:lncRNA from 1 species
AAACAGAGCACACUAACUAAAGGGCUCCGGCGUUCAAUCUCACCUUCCCCCGGUGCUUUCAAUCAGUUUCUACCACUGAAAGAUUUAAAUUCUGGCCAGUUACUGAGAGGCGGAAAAAAAAAACUCUCCUGUGAAACAGUGACUGUAAAGGCUGGCUUCCACCCAAGCCACAGGAACUUUAAACAGUCUGCGGGCUCAGCGGCCACAGACAGGUUCAAACUGAGUGGGAUGAAAGCUGCUCCCAGAUUUUCAAUCUAAGGUCGCAGAAAUCCUUCAAGUUUCCCCAUCUGUCUCAGAGGGUUCAUGAGAAAAAUAACACUGAGUUGUAUUGUGACCUCUGCCCAGUGAUGGGAAAAUAGUUCCAGUUAUUAUAUUGCGUUGAUGGCCACAUACGUUCCAUCAGCUAAAGCAAAAUGAAGGUUGAGUGGGCUGUAAAGCCUGCGCUGGAGAUCAUGUCAGCACUCAGAACAGAACUAAGAUAAUUUCAAUUUCAUUUUGGCAAAAGAGUACAUUCAUUCAGGUCUUUCAUACUUUUCCCAUGAAAAAGUUAGCAGUCUGAUUAAUGAUAUCAAGGCUUUGGAAUAAUAGGAACAAGAGAAUGUGCCAGAAACACAUUGAUAUGAAGUUUAAACCAGCUUAAACCAUUCUCCAUAAAUAAUUAAAACAACUUCUAACAAAAGGGCACCUGUGGGGAAUCACUAACACUGAAGCUGGAAUAAAACUCUGGAUUGUCAUAGACUAAGGAGAACGAUGAGCUUUCAGCCAAACACCAUCAGUCUGCAGCACAGGAAGGACCUAUGUGAAAAUGCUCAAAGAGAGAAACUUUACACAAGGAUAUGGGAAACCCAAUGAUAAACAAAAAUAACUUCAAACACCAGCUGCAUGGUCAUCAGUUGCACAUCACCAUCUUGCAGGCUAGUCAAGGGAAACCUUCCAUCCUCCUAUUCCUCUCUUCUUUACUCCUAUUAUUUAUGAAGUGAAGGAAAUGUAAUGGAAUUCAAACAGAAACAUACUAGUAUAUCUUUUCCACAUUUCUACCUAAAGAUAUGAUAGGAAGAAAAUAUUUUAAGUAAACUUUGUAAUACCC